rnacentral:rRNA from 1 species
UACGUAGGGGGCGAGCGUUGUCCGGAAUCAUUGGGCGUAAAGAGCGUGUAGGCGGUUUGGUAGGUCCGCUGUGAAAACUCGAGGCUCAACCUCGAGACGCCGGUGGAAACCAUCAGGCUAGAGUCCGGAAGAGGAGAGUGGAAUUCCUGGUGUAGCGGUGAAAUGCGCAGAUAUCAGGAAGAACACCCGUGGCGAAGGCGGCUCUCUGGGACGGUACUGACGCUGAGACGCGAAAGCGUGGGGAGCGAACAGG